AGUGAACGCUGGCGGUAGGCCUAACACAUGCAAGUCGAACGGCAGCACAGUAAGAGCUUGCUCUUACGGGUGGCGAGUGGCGGACGGGUGAGGAAUACAUCGGAAUCUACUUUUUCGUGGGGGAUAACGUAGGGAAACUUACGCUAAUACCGCAUACGACCUACGGGUGAAAGCAGGGGAUCUUCGGACCUUGCGCGAUUGAAUGAGCCGAUGUUGGAUUAGCUAGUUGGCGGGGUAAAGGCCCACCAAGGCGACGAUCCGUAGCUGGUCUGAGAGGAUGGUCAGCCACACUGGAACUGAGACACGGUCCAGACUCCUGCGGGAGGCAGCAGUGGGGAAUAGUGGACAAUGGGCGCAAGCCUGAUCCAGCCAUACCGCGUGGGUGGAGAAGGCCUUCGGGUUGUAAAGACCUUUUGUUGGGAAAGAAAAGCAGCAGGUUAAUACCCCGCUGUUCUGACGGUACCCAAAGAAUAAGCACCGGCUAACUUCGUG
rnacentral:rRNA from 1 species